UUUAUGGUGGAUGCCUAGGCACCCAGAGACGAGGAAGGGCGUAGUAAGCGAUGAAAUGCUUCGAGGAGUUGAAAAUAAGCUUCAAUCAGGAGAUUCCCGAAUAGGUCAACCUAUCGAACUACGAUUGAAUCCAUGGGCAGACAAGAGACAACUUGACGAACUGAAACAUUUUAGUAGCCAAAGGAAAUGAAAGCAAAAGCGAUUCCGAUAGUAGAUGCGAGGCGAGUGGGAGCAACCUAAACCGUGAAAACGGGGUUAUGGGAAAGUGAUACAAGCGUCGUGCUGCUAGGCGAAGCAAUAGAAUGCUGCACCCUAGACAGUGAGAGUCCAGUAUCCGAAAACGUCACCAGCUUACGCUUUGACUCAAGUAGCAUGAGGCACGUGGAAUCCGGUGUAAAUCAGCAAGAACCACCUUGUAAGGCUAAAUACUCUUGGGUGACUAAUAGCAAAGUGUAUGGUGACUGAUAGCGAAGUAGUACCAUGAGGGAGGGGUGAAAAGAACUCCCCGAAAUAUAAA
rnacentral:ncRNA from 1 species